rnacentral:rRNA from 1 species
CCUCCGGGAGGCAGCACAGCGGAAUAUUGCACAAUGCGCGCAAGCCUGAUGCAGCAACGCCGCGUGAGGGACGACGGCCUUCGGGUUGUAAACCUCUUUUAGCAGGGAAGAAGCGAAAGUGACGGUACCUGCAGAAAAAGCACCGGCUAACUACGUGCCAGCAGCCGCGGUAAU